rnacentral:rRNA from 1 species
AGUGAACGCUGGCGGUAGGCCUAACACAUGCAAGUCGAACGGCAGCACAGGAGAGCUUGCUCUCUGGGUGGCGAGUGGCGGACGGGUGAGGAAUACAUCGGAAUCUGCUCAGUCGUGGGGGACAACGUAGGGAAACUUACGCUAAUACCGCAUACGACCUUCGGGUGAAUGAGGGGGAUCGCAAGACCUCUCGCGAUUGGAUGAGCCGAUGUCGGUUUAGCUUGUUGGCGGGGUAAUGGCCCACCAGGGCGACGAUCCGUAGCUGGUCUGAGAGGAUGAUCGGCCGCACUGGAACUGGGACACGGUCCAGAGUCCUACGGGAGGCAGCAGUGGGGAAUGUUGGACAAUGGGCGCAAGCCUGGUCCAGCCAUACCGCGUGGGUGAAGAAGGCCUUCGGGUUGUAAAGCCCUUUUGUUGGGAAAGAAAUCUUUCAGGCUGAUACCCUGGGAGGAUGACGGUACCCAAAGAAUAAGCACCGGCUAACUUCGUG